rnacentral:tRNA from 1 species
UCGGGGGUCGUCUAAGGGUUAGGACGCCGGCUUGGUUGCCGGAAAUCGGGGUUCGAAUCCCCGCCCCUGGG